rnacentral:rRNA from 1 species
AUGGGUAGAAGAAGUAGAUUUGUUUCUGCGAAACCUAUAAUAGUAGGCAAUUUAAGUAACAUUAUAGCAGGUACAGAAUUUAAUCUCAGACCAGAUGUACAUAUUUCAUAUUCAUUAGGAUAUGAAAAUACAUUGUUCGCUGGUACAUAUCGGGGGGCCGUAGAAAGCUUUAUCGGUGAGUAUGUAGACUCGGAAUGGCUUAUAUGGAUCUUGAAUGAUCAGACAUAGAAUGAUAAGGUUGUAUGUCAAAAGGGAAACAGCCCAGAACAAAAGUUAAGGUUCCAAAAUUAUUGUUCAGUGAAAAACAAGAAGGUUUUUUAUUGAGUCGACAAGGAGAUGGGCUUAGAAGCAGCCAUAAUUUGAAGAACUCGUAACAGAGCGCUUGUUAAAUCUUUAAAGGCAUCGACAAUUUAACGGAUCUAAACAAUAUACCGAAACUUUGUCCUCAUUUAACACUAUAUACUUUAUUUAAUAUAGGAUUUUUAACACUACCUUCGAUACUUUUUUUAUUACUUAUCCAGGCUUCGCAGACUUAAAAUCUGCGGAGGCCAUUAGGGUCUGGACCGAAAGGUUAAAUUAAAAUAAUAAAAAAAUUACAGAGCCAUAACGCAUGCAGAAUUUGCAGCCAGAAGUGGUGGAUCGAUGGGUCUAAAUUUUUUGAAUAAUAUAGGGUUAAUGCAGGGGUAGCAGAACGUUGGGUUAUAUUAGAUUAUGAUUUUUUUAAAUCAUAAUAAUAAUAAACUCAAUUGAUAAUGGUGACAUGAGUAACGAAAAGAUCUAAUAUUAUUGGGGAGUAAGUUCCGACAAACUAAAAAGAUGAGGAAAAGAAACUAUAUUCAGAACUCGCCUAAAGCUUAAGGUUACCAGUCAAACGGCCUCUAAGUUUAUAACCUGAAGGUUAAUACGAUGAGAUAAUUACUAAAAACAACACUUUGUCUAUGAUUGUUAAGUGUAAAGUGUGCUGGAAAAAAGUAAUUCCUAUUUUUGUCCAGGAACCUUAAAUAAAAGUAAGGGUAACUGGUUUCUUCAAUAAACUAAGUAGAUGAGAAGAUUGUACGAUUCUUAAUAAACUAAAUAGAUGAGAGGAUCGGAAAUAGAGCAGAUAGAUACCGUACCUGGAGACUACCACACAAGGAAGCUAGUAGAGAAUACGAAGGCGUAAGAGAUAACAAUCAUAAAGGAACUCGGCAAAUUGAUACCAAAACUUCGGGAAAAGGUAGGCUCAUUAGUCUUGAUUAAUACAAGUAAAAAGGAAGAAGCAUAAAAUGAUGUUGUACGACUGUUUAAUUAAAACACAGCACUCUGCAAAAAGAUGAUAAAUCUAAGUACUGAGUGUGAUACCUGCCCGGUGCCGGCUGGUUAACGGAAAUAACUAAACUGUCGUAGGUUUGGUGUAGAAGGAAACCCCGGCUAAUGGCGGCCUUAUAACUGAGGGUCAGGCUUUCUUAGGGCCCUCAUUAAAUUUAGCUAUAUGCUGGAACAAAUUUUUUAAUUACACUGUAUUAUUUUGCUUAGAAGAGCUAGCUAUAGUACUAUACUUUAGCUUUAUUGCAAAUUAUUCCAUUCUUUUUUUUCCAGUAACAAUUGCUAGCUUAUGGUUUAACGUUUUAACGGACUAACAAUUAAAUUUUGAAUUUUCAGUGUGUAUAGUACACAAUAGAGUUUACAUUGUAGAAGUUCAUUGCCGUGCCAAUUUUUCUACGCUAGUUCAUUGGUUUAACGAUCUCUAUUUUUAAAAUAAUAUAAGUAUUUAUAAAUAGAAAAUGAAAAUAUUAAAUAUAAGAACACUAAAGAUACAACCUUUAUUAAAUUUAGUCCGGGGUUGUAUUACAAAAAAUGGAUUAGUUAGCAAUAAAUUUGGCGGUACUUUCGCUAGCUUACACGGUAAAAGUUUACAUACCAGUUCACCCCUUUUAUCAGAGGGGUCAAUUGGUCUAACGGUGUCGGCUAAUAAUACAGGUAAUUUAGAAUUCAAUCAGCAGGAAAGAUUAGAAAAGUUAGUUCAGGAUGAGAACUACAAAUAUUGAUUAGGAGGUUUUGUGGAGGGAGAAGGAGCUUUAGUAAUAUCUAUAGUGAAGAAUACUGAGUUAACAAAUAGAGUUGCCUUACAACCUGAGUUUAAUGUUGUACAACAUACAAAUGGUAUGGAAAUACUUCAUUCGUUCAAGAUCCUUUUUGGGAAUAAAGGAACAGUAACCAAAAAAUCCGGAUCCGCUAAUGUUUUAGUUUAUUCUUUGAAAGGUACUAAAAAUUUGAAAAAAUAUGUGUUACCUUUCUUUGCUAAAUACGUUGCAGUAUAUUCAAGUAAAUAUAAAUCUGAAAUUUUUGAUACUUUCAGCUAUGUUAUUAAUAAAUUAGAUGAGAAUCAUCGUAAAGCAACUAGCAAAGAAGACCUUAUAGAAUUAAUUAAAUUGGUUUAUACUUAUAAUCCUGAAGGUAAGGGAAAACAAAGAAAAAGAACAUUAGAGGAAAUCUUGGAUUAUAUAAAUGAUCCUAACCAAUAAGUAAGGAACCACUAACUUACUCAUUAAUAGAGCUUAAACUUUUCUAAAAUCCUCAGAGACCAUACGCUAAACAAUCUAAAUAGAUUGAUGAUUUGGUCCAGCGGGCACUUGUUACUUUUUAAGAUGGUAACAAGGGAUAGUGAUAUCUUGCCCGUUGCCUAAGGUAGCGGAAUACCUUGGCCGUUAAAUGCGGUCUUUGCAUGAAUGGUGUAACGAUACAACAGCUGUCUCUAUGAUUGACUCUGUGAAAUUGGAAUAACUGUGCAGAUACAGUUUACCUCUAGUUAGACGAGAAGACCCUAUGCAGCUUUACUGUUACUAAUUAUUGAGUAUAAUAACAGCAAAUUUGAGAAGAUAAGGUAAUCGAUAGUAUAAAAGUGAAAUACCUUUAUUUGCUUAUUGUAUUAUUAUGGAAUAUUAUGUAUAUUGUCUAAUGAUAUAAGUUAAAUACCUUAUAUUGUUGUCAGUUAAAUGUAAAAGGAUCUUAAGUUAUCUCUUCAAGCGUUUUAGAAAGAAGGUUUAGGUGAAAUUAUGUUUAGCUUGACGGUUUAUAUAUUAUAAACAUCAGACUCUAUGAUUUAUGAGAAGGGAUAAAAGAAGGGGAACGUUACUUAGAUGACUAAGAGAACGAAAGAGAUAAACCCAACCCGGAAAAAAUACUUAGAAUUGCUAAGAGAAGUUCUUAUAAAAAAGAGAGAACAUUUGCUAGGAGACAGUUUAUGCGGGGCACAGACCCCAUAAAGAGUAGAUGGGAGUGUCUAAGGAUUGUGAUGUUGGUUGCGAAAAAUCGUGUUUUAGUUUUUUAAUCACGAAUCUCGACGCAAGUAUACUUCGUAGGGAUACGCAGCUAUUAAUUUUGGGUAUAUUUUUUUACCUAAGGCGGGAAGUAACCCCUGUUACCUUGUCUUAUAAAGCUAAACUCUAGCUUUAAGGGGUAAAAAAAAUAAUUUUUGUUUGCAUGUAUUAUAUAACUAAGUUGUAUGUAAUCGUUUGCUAGUACGACACGGAAAGGCGUACAUAUUAUUGAAAGGGUAAGAUUUUAGCUAUAGUGAAAUUAGCUUUAGUAAAAAAAAAAGUACUUUAAUAAUGAUAUUGCUGCUUACCUGUCUGCGUCUAGGGCAAUGCCCUAGGACAAGGGUAGGACAACGCUGGCAUUUGGAGUAACAUAGUGCUUUUUCUAGUUAUUAAUUAAUACUUAGCAGUGUUUUUAAUAAUAAUGUUAACUAUUUACCAAGUUUAACGGCUUAAUCUUGCUUUACUGUUUGAUUCACAACAAAUCUUACAGUCGCGUAAGCGGGGCAUAGGAUCACAAGACACAUUAAGGAAAGGUCUUGGAUUAUUGGAAAAGCUACGCUAGGGAUGUUUGUCCUUUAAUUUAUUUUUUUGCUUAAUUAGAAUAAUAGUGAAUAUAUAUAUAUAUAGCUAUUUAUACGAGCCUUCACCCUAUAUUUAAGUUAUAUUAUUACUUAAUCUUCUCUUAUUAUCUUACUGCUGUGUAGCGUGCGUGGGGGAUAGUAGUUUCAUCGCGAUACCAACCGCUUGAGAUUUUUAGGGGAAUGGUCACCUAGCUACCUAAAUAAAUUAUGUGGCUUAUCCAUAAUUUAUUCCGGACGACUCUUUUAUAUUUUUUUUUUCACUGUUUUGUACUGAUACUGGUGUGCCUCGUUAGUAAAAAAAAAAUAUAAAACUCCCUGAAGGUGUUGGUGUAAAUAGAAAGGUAUAAUAAGCAGGAAGAUAGGUAAGGUAAAAAAAAUUGUAAGCAAGAAAAUUAUUAAUAAUUUAAUUGGGUUAAUUUCAAAAAUUACUUCUCAUCAAGAUUGGCUACUAAUACGGAAGUAUACGAUCCUUAAGGGAUUUUUUUUAGGGUCCUCAGAGAUAGAUACUCGCUCUUAAGGGAGUGAUAAUUUAUACUUUUAUAUAAGUGUUCUUACACUUUAUAAAAGCCAAUCUUAGAUACACGUAAAUUUGAAGCGAAAUUUAUCUUAUCUAGUAAAAAUUAAGAUAAAAACGUUCAACGACUAAUAGGUGAGUAAAACUAACAAUAAUUCUUAUCUAGAAACCCAGCACUUUUUAUUAUAUAUAAUUAAAAAUAAGAAAAUUUACUCUUGAAAACCAACUUUUUUGGCGCAGUAGUUUAUUUAGGCUAGUAAGAAGAAUACGUGCGACUACUUGAUAUGGCUAAAUUAGCCUGCGAUGCACACUUAGUAUGCAGCUGUGGGCAGGAGUUAGCAUAUAUUUUAUUACCCUUUCAUAACUAUGUUCGGCAACUUCGGUCGCAAGCAUGCAUACUUCGGUGAGCAGCCUAAUUAAUUAUGAAGGAGGGGUGGAGUAGUCUAUCAUGCAUACUUCGUGAGCAGCCUAAUUAAUUAGGGGAUGGCUUCGCAUAACAAGCCCGCCCUCUCAUGAUAAAGAUAAAUUUCUUAACAAAAUUAAUAAAAAUUAUUACUAUAGUGAAGAAUAAAAUGAAAAAAAAUCAAAAUUUAAUCAAAAAAGCUUCUACGCAGUCCAAUUUAAUAAAUUCUUCGAGAGGGGUCAAAGAAUCUACGAUAAAAGAUAUGAUUAUUCCAAAUAUUUUUAAGCAAAACGUGAAAAAUAAUUUGAAAUUGAGACCCUUUAAUGAAAUAAUAAGUGAUGUAGGGGAUAUACAAUAUUUUCCUGCAUGAGCAAAAGAGUGAAGAAAUAGUGUUUAUCAUUAUAAUAGUAAUUUAAUAAAAAAUUUUCCUAUAUACGAUAUCAAUAUUGUUAAAAUAAUAAAAGUUUAUUUUGAUACAUAUUUUAAUCAUAAAUUUCUUAAAUACAAACAUAUUCUUACUAGGAAAAGACGUUUAUCAUUUAAUAAAAUUUUUUUUGCUAGACCGGAAAUUAAACAUACUAAUUCUAAGGCUAUUAUAACUCUCUAUACUUUUAAUAGAGAAAAGGUUGCUUUAUUAAAAAAAAUCAAAAUUUUAAGUAAUUUAACUAAACAGUUACUUUGUUUACUUAAAACACGCGGUUAUUUUAUUUUUAGAAAAAAAAAAAUAUUCAAAAGCAAAACCCGUAAGAAUGGUCAAAGAAAAUUAGAAUUAAGAUGAGGAAAUGUACGUGUGUAUUGCAUGGGAUUUUUAAAAAAAAUAGAAAAAAUUUUUUUUAAAUUUAAUAUGAUAUCCCUCAUAAUGAAAGAUGGAAAAGUACUUAAAGAUUAUUAUGCUUAUUUCUCUGCAUUAAAAACAAGUAAAAUUAAGGCGAAUAAAGAAACAAAUAAAUGGGUAAAAAUUUUACUUAAAAGAGAAUUUCGUCUUCUUCGAAAAUAUAAAUUUAAAUUAAAUCUUAAUAAGUAUAAAUUUGAAGAAAAAUUUUUAUAUAGAUUAAGUAAUGUUAUAAGCAAAAUUUAUAAUAAACAAAUAGAAUUUAAUAUUGUGAAUUUGAAAAAUAUAGUAUUUAAUACUGAUUUGUUCACUGAAAUAUCUACAAAAAAAAUUAAAAAGAGAAAUACGAAAGUUCUAAAAAUAAUGAAUAUUAUGUUAAAUAAAGCUAAGUUACCUAGAGUAAAUAGAAUUCAUGAAAAAGGUAGAAUCGUUAAAAAAGUAAAUUUAAAUUUAGUUGAAAAUAAAUAUAGAACUCUUAAUCUGAAAGAUAUAUUAACUAGUAAACUUAAUUUAGAUAAAUUGUUAACUAAAUUAUAUACUAGUGUUGUUAAUGAUGAAUUCUUACCACGAGUUAAGGCCAAUUUGAAUAAUAUCGUAUUUAAUGGUAUUAAAUACAAGAAUAUGGCUGGGAUUAGAAUGGAAGUUAAAGGUAGAUUAACUCCGCGUUAUAGAGCGGAUCGUAGUGUUUAUAGAUUACGUUGGAAAGGAGGUUUAAAAAAUAUCGACUCUUCUUAUAAAGGAUUAUCUGUACGAAAAUAUAGAGGUCACAUUAACCCUAACGUUGGUUAUUCUAUUUUUUCAUCUAAACGAAGAGUUGGUGCUUUUGCUGUGAAAGGAUGGAUGGCCGGUAAGUCUUAUUCUACUAUGGCUUCUAGUUAUAAUACGGUGAAAAAAUCUUUAAAUAAUUUGACUAGGAGAACGACUAUAUUCUAGAACUGUUACUGGGUUUGUUGAUGCUGAAGGUUGCUUUUUAAUUACC